AAGGCCAUAUCCUCACCUUUGCUUCUCUUUUGUAACCCAGGCUCUGCUGGAAACAGAGACCAAGUCUCUGCUUCUCUCUGUUUCUUCUUCUCUUAGCCUGAGUGUGCCCCUUUUCAAAUCCUUGUUCUUCUUCUCUCUGUUUCUUCUUCACUUAGUUCUGAGUGUUCCCCCAAUUCAAAUCCUUGUUCAGCAACUUCAUACAGAUAUUCUCAUAGUCAUACUUCUCCUUAAAAUCUUCUGCUCCUUGUCUUAAAUCCUCUGCUUCUCUUACUCUGUUCACUCCCUGUCUUACUUCUCACGCACCUACCAUGGCUGCUGCUUGUCCAACACCCCAACAGAAGAAAACCACUCGCCUCCCCCCACCAAAGAGAGGCAAAAUCAAGGCUCGAAUCCUCGGAAACUUGGUCAAAGCUGUGGUCUCCAUAGUCAAACAUGGAGAUCAGGGGAAAAAGAUGGCAUCUGAAGCUGGUGGAGGCUCUGCCGCUCCAACACCACCACCCAGUGGCUACAACUCCUACGGCAGUCCCAAUGUUGUUUGAAGAGACAUGGGUCACCACUCACCACCAACAUGUCAAAACUCACCAACUCUCAUCGCAAACCCGAGUCUCUGAAAUGGGUUUCGCAGCUAUCCUAUUUAUAUAUACUGAAGGUCUUGAAUUCUGCCAUUUUGAGCCAGAUUUUCAACUUCAGCUGUGUUUUCCAGCAGGUGUCUAAACAGUAGCCCAAAUAUAAGCUUGUCUGAAUAUCAGAUAUGUCAGUGUCUUAUAGGUAUGUUGUUUUUCUAUUUUUUCGAUUACAAUCUUAUAGAUAUGCUGGUCUUCCUAUUCUUCUCAGUUUUUGUUGGAAU